AUGCCUCAAACAAUGCAUUAACGAUAAAUUAUAGCUUGGUCUGCCUUUGGAGACUCCCCAUUGGCUGUUGCUUUGGAAUAAUAAAGAACAUAGUUCCGGUGCCGUUUUUGCGAUGUUUUUGUUGGUCCUUUAUUUAUAUAUUUGUGUUUUCGAGUCCGUUUUGGGCAGAAAUGUGUAUAAUAAACCAUUCUCAAUAAUAACUCUUAACUUUAAACAUUAGUGUAAUUUCGGUAGUGUUACCGUCGAUAUAAAUGCUCUGCGCUCUCACGGGUAUAAAUAGCAGGCGGCGCAUCUGUUAUAUUUGUCUCGCGUGGAGCUUCCAGGGGUGGUGUGGGGCUGGUUGGCGGCUCUGCGCGAGACGGCCGAGCGUGAAGCUUCUCUUGGCUGGUUGGUUGUUUGAGAGGCUUCGCGCUCGGUUUUUAUUUACAAGCAUAGUUUAGAUUGCGAGGGGGGUCGUGGCAAGACUUUUUUUCGGUGUUUAAAAUUCUCGCCUCUGAUACCGCCACCUGCCGGCGACAUGAUGUAACAAGUCAACUGCUAAUUGGAAGAACUCACACGGACUUAGCAACUUCAGGGAUCAUAGCUGGACUUCUGAUUAGACAAUGGACCGCUUUUCAAUUGAUGCUGACAAAAAGCCUCCACCUGAUACUGAGGGAAAAUCUGAGGGAAAUAUGACCAAAAGCAGACAAUAUGACGAUAAGUACCUGGAAUAGCUUUCCCGGAGCUCAUUGCUAAGAGCACUUGGUCAACAACGCAAAGUCGUGGGUUCGAUCCCAGGGGACUGCACAUAUCUAUGUAUAAAUGUAUAGGACAUUGCAAUGUAAGUCGCUUUGGAUAAAUAUGUAAAUGUAAUAUGGCUUCUCUCAGACCAGCGAUCGGGAGGAUUAACGACCACAUUGUGUGCGGUGAGGUGUUAGCAAAGGAGAGUCUCAAACCUUUCAAAAUGCUAAGACUUUCUUCCUACCCUGCGCUAAAAACACUGUUUCUCUGUUAUGUGUUGACAAAGCGUUGCUGAUCCAUAAGCAUUGAAGCAUUACAUUGUACUUUAAAAUACGAUCUUAUCUAAAUAUUAAUAUAAUUAUGGGAUGGGUUUCGCAAAACGUUGUCGUUCAUAAAAGGGGGUCGCACUUGAAAAUAGGUUAAGAACUACUGGUAUAGAUGAAUUUCAAACAUUAAGACACACGAGGCUGUCGUGUUUGAAGAGCUUUUGUUAGACGAGAUGCGGGCCAGAGUUUUCUGAAACCAGACUGGGCGCACGUGUCAUUAAAUGUGAGAUUGAUAAAAUGUGUUUUGAGUGAUUUUCAGGACUGUCAGACCACCCUGUCUCUCUUUCUGUCACUUUGACCGUGUGUCAGUCUGACGGGUCUGUGGGCUGUUGCUGUGGCGUGGUUCCUCGUUCGCUGAUAAGAAUACUGAUGGCUUCUAUGGCUUGGACUGUGUACCGAGAGUUCAGAUGGGCCUCAAGUCCUGAGAGGGACAGCAGCACAACACAACACAAACACGACUUUUCUCUGGUGUCCGAUGGCGUGUUGAUCUCAUUUUUUUUCUGUUUACCUUUUUCAUGGGAUGGAGGUUCUGAAAUGCCUCUAUAAGACCCAUAGUUACAGCACACAUUUACUGUCAACACUUCAGCAUCUGCAAAACUACAGAUGAGGAACAGUUGCCCUGCCAUCACCAUGACAACAACCUUCACCAUAGAGACUACAACUUGUGUCUGACGAUCCUCUGCAGCAGCGAGCAAUGUUUUAGGCGUGUUCACGAGGCAUCCGCAAGAUUUCUUUAGAAUGCCUUCCCCACAAGAAGGUGCAGACAAAGUUCUGAAAUGUGUGCAAGAACUGUAGUCCGCAGCAUUCGUAUAUCCAACACCCAGGAGACAAACUGAGCUUCAUGUCAGCGUCCUGUACCUGCCUGGAGUUUGCGGCGUCACAUCUCACAGCAGUCGUACUGAGAAGUUGCUAAAGAGGAGGCUUUUACGUACUCUGGCUGGACGUUCUUAAAAUCUGCCUGAUCAAAACUAUCAUAGAGCUCCAACAUCAUCAACAUCAUGGAGGUUUUAUUCCUUAAACACUUGU